rnacentral:rRNA from 1 species
UUGUCGAAUUCCUGCAAAAGCAGACCGCGAACACGUUAAACCAUUCUGGGACUGCGGGUCUUGGGGAGACCUUAGGCCCGCGCCCAUCUCCCGCACGGCGCUCGUCCAGGCGUUCGCCGUGCGGGCUAACGAACCCCGGCGCGGCACGCGCCAAGGAAAACUCGUAGAAGCCUCGGCCUCCCUUCGCCCCGUUCGCGGUGUGCGGUGGGGGAACUGAUGUCUCUCCAAUGUCAUAACGACUCUCGGCAACGGAUAUCUCGGCUCUCGCAUCGAUGAAGAACGUAGCGAAAUGCGAUACUUGGUGUGAAUUGCAGAAUCCCGUGAACCAUCGAGUCUUUGAACGCAAGUUGCGCCCGAAGCCAUUCGGCCGAGGGCACGUCUGCCUGGGCGUCACGCAUCGCGUCGCCUCCCACGCCUACACCCCAAUGGGUGAUCGGGUGGUGGGGGCGGAAAUUGGCCCCCCGAGCGGUAAUGCGCGCGGCCGGCCUAAAUGUGAACCCGUGAUGACUCACGUCACGACCAGUGGUGGUUGAACACACAACUCUCUUGCUGUCAUGCCGUUCUGAGUUGAUUUUCGGGGUUCUUCUCGGACCCAAAAGACGCGAACCUAUUGCGCCUUCGACCGCGACCCCA